rnacentral:ncRNA from 1 species
UUUAUGGAGAGUUUGAUCCUGGCUCAGGACGAACGCUGGCGGCGUGCCUAAUACAUGCAAGUCGAGCGAGGCCUUCGGGCCUAGCGGCGGACGGGUGAGUAACACGUGGGUAACCUGCCUGUAAGACUGGGAUAACUUCGGGAAACCGAAGCUAAUACCGGAUAACAUUUUUGGUUGCAUGACCGAAAAUUGAAAGGUGGCUUUUAGCUAUCACUUACAGAUGGACCCGCGGCGCAUUAGCUAGUUGGUGAGG